rnacentral:rRNA from 1 species
UUGCUGACGAGUGGCGGACGGGUGAGUAAUGCUUGGGAAUCUGGCUUAUGGAGGGGGAUAACGACGGGAAACUGUCGCUAAUACCGCGUAUUAUCGGAAGAUGAAAGUGCGGGACUGAGAGGCCGCAUGCCAUAGGAUGAGCCCAAGUGGGAUUAGGUAGUUGGUGGGGUAAAGGCCUACCAAGCCUGCGAUCUCUAGCUGGUCUGAGAGGAUGACCAGCCACACUGGAACUGAGACACGGUCCAGACUCC